GGUAUAUGUCUUCGGAUAUAGAGACCGGCGCACGGGUGCGUAACGCGUAUGCAAUCUACCUUUUACAGAGGGAUAGCCCAGAGAAAUUUGGAUUAAUACCUCAUAGUAUUAUUGAGUGGCAUCACUUAAUAAUUAAAGUCACAACGGUAAAAGAUGAGCAUGCGUCCCAUUAGCUAGUUGGUAAGGUAACGGCUUACCAAGGCAACGAUGGGUAGGGGUCCUGAGAGGGAGAUCCCCCACACUGGUACUGAGACACGGACCAGACUCCUACGGGAGGCAGCAGGAGGAAUAUUGGACAAUGGGCGCAAGCCUGAUCCAGCCACGUGCAGGAUGACGGUCCUAUGGAUUGCUUUUGUACGAGAAGAAACACUGCUUCGUGAAGCAGCUUGACGGUAUCGUAAGAAUAAGGAUCGGCUAACUCCGUGCCAGCAGCCGCGGUAAUACGGAGGAUCCAAGCGUUAUCCGGAAUCAUUGGGUUUAAAGGGUCCGUAGGCGGUUUAGUAAGUCAGUGGUGAAAGCCCAUCGCUCAACGGUGGAACGGCCAUUGAUACUGCUGAACUUGAAUUAUUAGGAAGUAACUAGAAUAUGUAGUGUAGCGGUGAAAUGCUUAGAGAUUACAUGGAAGCGAAGGCAGGUUACUACUAAUUGAUUACGCUGAAAGCGUGGGGAGCGAACAGGAUUAGAUACCUCCACGCCGUAAACGAUGGAUACUAGCUGUUGGGCGCAAGUUCAGUGGCUAAGCGAAAGUGAUAAGUAUCCCACCUGGGGAGUACGUUCGCAAGAAUGAAACUCAAAGGAAUUGACGGGGGCCCGCACAAGCGGUGGUGGUUUAAUUCGAUGAUACGCGAGGAACCUUACCAAGGCUUAAAUGUAGAUUGACCGGUUUGGAAACAGAUCUUUCGCAAGACAAUUUACAAGGUGCUGCAUGGUUGUCGUCAGCUCGUGCCGUGAGGUGUCAGGUUAAGUCCUAUAACGAGCGCAACCCCUGUUGUUGUUGCCAGCGAGUCAAGUCGGGAACUCUAACUGCCAGUGCAAACUGUGAGGAAGGUGGGGAUGACGUCAAAUCAUCACGGCCCUUACGCCUUGGGCUACACACGUGCUACAAUGGCCGGUACAGAGAGCAGCCACUGGGCGACCAGGAGCGAAUCUAUAAAACCGGUCACAGUUCGGAUCGGAGUCUGCAACUCGACUCCGUGAAGCUGGAAUCGCUAGUAAUCGGAUAUCAGCCAUCGGUGAAUACGUUCCCGGGCCUUGUACACACCGCCCGUCAAGCCAUGGAAGCUGGGGGUGCCUGAAGUCAAGGAGCUGCCUAGGGUA
rnacentral:rRNA from 1 species